GUAGGUGGCAAGCGUUGUCCGGAAUUAUUGGGCGUAAAGCGCGCGCAGGCGGUUCUUUAAGUCUGAUGUGAAAGCCCACGGCUCAACCGUGGAGGGUCAUUGGAAACUGGAGAACUUGAGUACAGUAGAGGAAAGCGGAAUUCCACGUGUAGCGGUGAAAUGCGUAGAGAUGUGGAGGAACACCAGUGGCGGAGGCGGCUUUCUGGUCUGUAACUGACGCUGAGGCGCGAAAGCGUGGGGAGCAAACAGGGAUUAGAUACCCUGGUAGUCCACGCCGUAAACGAUGAGUGCUAAGUGUUAGGGGGUUUCCGCCCCCUUAGUGCUGCAGCUAACGCAUUAAGCACUCCGCCUGGGGAUACGGCCGCAAGGCUG
rnacentral:rRNA from 1 species